rnacentral:rRNA from 1 species
AAUAUUGGGCAAUGGGCUCAAGCCUGACCCAGCAACGCCGCGUGAGGGAAGAAGGUCUUCGGAUUGUAAACCUCUGUCCUUGGGGACGAAGAAAGUGACGGUACCUAAGGAGGAAGCCCCGGCUAACUACGUGCCAGCAGCCGCGGUAAUACGCAGGGGGCAAGCGUUGUCCGGAAUUCUUGGGCGUAAAGGGUGCGUAGGCGGCCCUUUAAGUCAGAUGUGAAAGCCCACGGCUCAACCGUGGGAUUGCAUUUGAAACUGGAGGGCUUGAGUAUCGGAGAGGGUAGUGGAAUUCCCAGUGUAGCGGUGAAAUGCGUAGAUAUUGGGAGGAACACCAGUGGCGAAGGCGACUACCUGGACGAUUACUGACGCUGAUGCACGAAAGCUAGGGGAGCAAACA